CCAAAGGCUCUUUUCAGAGCCACCCACUUAAACGCUGGAAAGAACU
rfam:Tupaia chinensis contig173167, whole genome shotgun sequence.